GAUGAACGCUGGCGGCGUGCCUAAUACAUGCGAGUCGAGCGAACGGACGAGAAGCUUGCUUCUCUGAUGUUAGCGGCGGACGGGUGAGUAACACGUGGAUAACCUACCUAUAAGACUGGGAUAACUUCGGGAAACCGUAGCUAAUACCGGAUAAUAUUUUGAACCGCAUGGUUCGAAAGUGAAAGACGGUCUUGCUGUCACUUAUAGAUGGAUCCGCGCUGCAUUAGCUAGUUGGUAAGGUAACGGCUUACCAAGGCAACGAUGCAUAGCCGACCUGAGAGGGUGAUCGGCCACACUGGAACUGAGACACGGUCCAGACUCCUACGGGAGGCAGCAGUAGGGAAUCUUCCGCAAUGGGCGAAAGCCUGACGGAGCAACGCCGCGUGAGUGAUGAAGGUCUUCGGAUCGUAAAACUCUGUUAUUAGGGAAGAACAUAUGUGUAAGUAACUGUGCACAUCUUGACGGUACCUAAUCAGAAAGCCACGGCUAACUACGUG
rnacentral:rRNA from 1 species